rnacentral:rRNA from 1 species
ACAGCAGCCGCCACGGGAAUACGGAGGGUGCAAGCGUUAUCCGGAUUUAUUGGGUUUAAAGGGUCCGUAGGCGGACUUAUAAGUCAGUGGUGAAAGCCUGUCGCUUAACGAUAGAACUGCCAUUGAUACUGUAAGUCUUGAGUAUAUUUGAGGUAGCUGGAAUAAGUAGUGUAGCGGUGAAAUGCAUAGAUAUUACUUAGAACACCAAUUGCGAAGGCAGGUUACCAAGAUAUAACUGACGCUGAGGGACGAAAGCGUGGGUAGCGAACAGGAUUAGAUACCCCUGUAGUCCCUGUCUCUUAUAU